rnacentral:misc_RNA from 1 species
UGUGGGAGCGAGCUUGCUCGCGAUAGCGGUGCGUCAGUCAGCAUCUGCAUCAACUGACGGACCGCUAUCGCGAGCAAGCUCGCUCCCACA